rnacentral:rRNA from 1 species
AUGCCUUGGCGAUUACAGGCGAAGAAGGACGUACAAGCCUGCGAAAAGCUCUGGGGAGCUGGCAAUGAAGCUUUGAUCCAGAGAUAUCCGAAUGGGGAAACCCACUCCGCAAGGAGUAUCCCACGCUGAAUACAUAGGCGUGAGGAAGCGAACCCGGCGAACUGAAACAUCUAAGUAGCCGGAGGAAAAGAAAUCAACCGAGAUUCCCAAAAGUAGUGGCGAGCGAAAUGGGAACAGCCUGCAAGUGAUAGCGAUUGCGUUAGCGGAAGUCUCUGGAAAGUGGCGCCGUAGUGGGUGACAGCCCCGUACGCGAAAACCCGAUCGUGGUACCAAGCUUGCGACAAGUAGGGCGGGGCACGAGAAAUCCUGUCUGAAUAUGGGGGGCCCAUCCUCCAAGGCUAAAUACUCGUAAUCGACCGAUAGUGAACCAGUACCGUGAGGGAAAGCGAAAAGAACCCCGGGAGGGAGUGAAAUAGAUCCUGAAACCGCAUGCAUACAAAACAGUGGGAGCCCCUUCGUGGGUGACUGCGUACCUUUUGU